GAUGAACGCUGGCGGCGUGCCUAAUACAUGCAAGUCGAGCGAACGGACGAGAAGCUUGCUUCUCUGAUGUUAGCGGCGGACGGGUGAGUAACACGUGGAUAACCUACCUAUCAGACUGGGAUAACUUCGGGAAACCGGCGCUAAUACCGGAUAAUAUUUUGAACCGCAUGGUUCAAAAGUGAAAGACGGUCUUGCUGUCACUUCUAGAUGGAUCCGCGCUGCAUUAGCUAGUUGGUAAGGUAACGGCUUACCACGGCAACGAUGCAUAGCCGACCUGAGAGGGUGAUAGGCCACACUGGAGCUGAGACGCGGACCAGACUCCUGCGGGAGGCAGCAGUAGGGAAUCUUCCGCAGUGGGCGAGAGCCUGACGGAGCAGCGCCGCGUGAGUGGUGAAGGUCUUCGGAUCGUAAAACUCUGUUAUGAGGGAAGAACAUAUGUGUAAGUAACUGUGCACAUCUUGACGGUACCUAAUCAGAAAGCCACGGCUAACUACGUG
rnacentral:rRNA from 1 species